rnacentral:tRNA from 1 species
GGGUGUUCAUAGGGCACUUGCCUCCUAAGCAAGGAAUCCCAGGUUCAAAUCCUGGCGGGCCCG